AGAUCAUCCAGUUGUUGCUCAAGUGUCUUGUGUGUGCGGUAACAGGCUCAGCAGCCACCAUCUUGGCUCAGGUGGUACAAUAGUAUGCUUGUAUCAGAAGCUGCAAUUCAUUGUCUGGUUUAGAUCGUCCAGCAGAGCCCAGAAGCCUUUCAAAUUGAGUCUCCAUGUCCACGCCGCCUGGCCACGCUACAUAAGUAAGAGGC